GAGGGGUGCAAACGUUAUUCGGAAUUACUGGGCGUAAAGGGUGUGUAGACGGCAAAGCAAGUCAAUUAUAAAAUCUCUUGGCUUAACCAAGAGUCUGUAGUUGAAACUGUUUAGCUAGAGGGCGGAAGAGAGAAGUGGAAUUCUCGGAGUAGCGGUAAAAUGCGUAGAUCUCGAGAGGAACACCGAUGGCGAAGGCAGCUUCUUGGUCCGCACCUGACGUUGAUGCACGAAAGCGUGGGGAGCAAACAGGGAUUAGAUACCCUGGUAGUCCACGCCGUAAACGAUGAUCACUAGAUGUCAGGCCCCGUUUUAGGGUUUGGUGUCGCAGCUAACGCGUUAAGUGAUCCGCCUGGGGAAGUACGGUCGCAAGAUUA
rnacentral:rRNA from 1 species